CUUGACGUCUAAUUUUCUUGGCAUUUCUUCUUUCAGUCUUUCUUUAAUAUUUAUUUUUUUUAUUUGGGUUUUGCUUGUUUAAUUUUUAUUUAUUUCAUUGAUUUAUCUGACUAGAAGUCUGGUAAAGAUUUUAGCAUCUUCCUUUGUGGGUAUGUUACUAAUACUGAGACUGACACUUGUAUACAGAUGAUAACAUGUGUGUAUGUUUUUCUUUGUUGAAAUGGUGGUUGCUUUCAUUCUGAUUUUGCUAAUUUGUUGAAGUAUUUGCAGGUGUUCUUCUAAUUGACAUAGUGUAAUUCUCUGCAAAUGUAGUGGAUUUUAGGUUUUGUGUUGGUUUACUUGUUUAUAUUUUUUUCUGUAUAAUUAUGUUGGUAAUAAUUUUGAUAUGUCUAUAGCUAAACAGUUUAGAUUUGGAAAUUAAUUUUCAGGAUAAUUUUCUAUUUGAAAGAAUAUCAUAGAUAUACAUAUCUAAUCUAAGGCUAAUUACAUAAGCACGUGAAGAGAUUCUACAGGUAUUUGUUUAUUGAUUGUUGAAUACUCCGAAUAUUGAAGUCAACAACACAGCCUCGAAAAGCUUAAUUCAGAAAUUUAGUAAUUUUGAGAUUUUAACGUCUUUGUCAAUUGUUUAACUGAAUAUUGCAACUGCUUUCUGUUUUUCCUGCCUGUGUUUUGAUGGGUGUGAAAGAGUAAUUUUUAGUUAUUGCUAUAUUUGGCUUUUUAUUGGUGAAAGGUUAGGUUGCUGUUUUUGCUUCAUUCAUAAUAUGAUGGCCUUUAUUAUCACAGGACAGCUAGGUUUCACAGUUAGCUUGGUACUGUAAUACAUAACAUGAUAUUAUGUUUUCCAGCUAAUGAAAUCACAUUGAGAUGGCAAACUGCCAUAUUGGAUUGAUAUAUGAUACCUCAAAGAGGUAAUCCUUUUUGGAUUUAAUUAUGUAUCUCUAUCUGGAAGAGAAAAGCUACCUUUGUUUAUUAGACUUGUAAGUGUUGUAUGAAGCCAUAGGGGAUGUAUUCCUUUUCCUCUAUCAUUAUUUUUAUGGUUAACAAAUUUUUAGUGCAAAUUCCACAGCUGGAUAAGGUCUAGCAUUUUACUUUUUCAUAAUCUGCAUUUUUACCCCUUUUGUUGUUGUUGUUGUCUUUAUUAUCAUGGCCAUUUGUGUUCUAGGGUGUAAAAUGAUUUUUACCUUGCCCAGGUUAGAUUUCUCAAAAAAGGUUCAUUUUGGGUCCUGGAAAUGUCUUAAAGAAACCAGAACUUAUAAGGAACUUUUUUAAGAGAUUGUUUAAAUUGAUCUGCAUCAUACGUACUUUCUUUUGGUUGUUCUAUGUCUCUGUUGCCAUUUGCUUGUUGUUUACUUUGUUUUUCUGGUAUCUGGGCUUGAUUUGUAAGAACUGUGGCCCUGUGGAGUGUCUUGUCAGUUUUAAACAUUGGGAGGAUAUGAAAGUAGAAGACAUGAAUUAUGUAUAUGUUGCCUCUUGUUGCUUGCAUAUUCUUACCGUAUGAUUAUCUGAUACAUCUAUGCCUAACAGGAUCAUAUGGCCAGCCUUGGUGACAAAAGUGAGUGUGAAUGGAUAGAGAGAAUCAAAUCAGAGGGGGCUGUUCCACUACUUGAACCAGAUAAUUGUCAAAACGGUUGGGCUUCCCCACCUGGAGACAAAUUCAUGGUAAGAGGUCCAGAUUACCUGAAAACCAACGUUAAAAUUCCUGCUGAAGAUUGCCUUCUAAAGCCUCUUGGAUUUGACUGGAUUAAAGGUUCUACCAAGAUUGGGGAGAUUUUGAAAAAUCCAAAUAGCCGCAUAAGGAGGGUUAUUGAUGAUGAGUUUCCAACUGGUGAUAAGCCUUUUGUUUGGGCAUUUAAUCUACAAGUACCCAGCAAGGAUAAUUAUAGUGCGGUGGCCUAUUUUGUUACCACAGAACCAGUUCCAGAGGGAUCAUUGAUGUACCAGUUCUUGAGAGGGGAUGAUGGGUUCAGAAAGUCAAGGCUUAAACUGAUUGCCAACAUUGUCAAAGGCCCCUGGAUUGUAAGAACGGCAGUUGGGGAGCAGGCUGUAUGCAUAAUUGGACGUGCCCUUACCUGUAGAUACUGUGUAGCUGAGAAUUUUUUUGAAGUAGAUGUGGAUAUUGGAUCUUCUGUGGUUGCAAGUGCAAUAGUUCAUCUUGCAUUUGGUUACAUCACAAUGCUGACUGUUGACUUAGCUUUUGUCAUUGAGGGUCAAACUGAGUCAGAGCUUCCAGAGCGACUCUUAGGUGCAGUCAGAUUCUCUGAACUGAAUCCUGCUUCUGCUCACUCAUAUGAGCCAUCAUCAUUUGAAAGUGCUGGUAGUUUGCAGUCUUCAUUGCCAACACGUUUGUGGAAAUCUAUCGGCCAGGGGUUUUCUCAAUUUCUUAAUCCAGGAGUUCAAGAGGGUGGUUCUACCACUGGCUUGGCCCAUGUUAAUGGAACUUCCAAUCAUGAAGACUGUAGUGAAGAUAUAAAGAAAUGGUAAGAAUUGUGAAAAUUGAAUACCUUGGAAAUUUUUUGUCCCAGUAAAGAUUUAAGUUUCAGUUCAUGUUUGGUGCUAUGCAUAAGGAGCUUAUGAACAGACCUUUUGAGUUUUGACAAUAUCUGCAGAUGAAUCAACUACUCCUGGUCGACGGUGCAUACAUUGCUAUAGGAGAAGCUUAAUCAUAGAUGAUGCAGGAUGACUGAAAUGGCAAAGCAUCAAUGCUCAUAGCAUCUGCUGCUCCAUCACUAGCUAUUGCAUUUGAUUCUUGAGAUUUGUUGCAGCUGUUGGUAGACUGUGAAAGAGUUCUAUAUCAUUUGUUGGCAGUAAAGUAAAUUUCAUUUAGAAGCUUAGAGUUGGAUUACUUGAUAUUGGCAGCUGUUAUUAAUUCUGGGUUCUGAGAAUAACCAGAAGGUAAAUUUGAGACCCUGAAUUUGGCCAUUGAUAUAAUUAGUGCUACACCAGACAAAUUUGGACACCACUGACGAACUUGGGUUGUGUAUAGAAACUUUAAAGUUAAUAUAUAAAUUCAGGAAAUUUUGGAAAGUUCCAUCAGAAGGCAUUUUGGGGAAACUUUGCCAUGGUUUCUCAUCACAAUAGCUAACAACCUUUUGUCUGAAUUUUUUGCAAUGUGUUUCAUUAGUAAAAUUGGGAUCUAUAUAGGUGACUGUAACUAGAUUGGGAUUCAUUUAGUUGUUGUGUUGCAUUAGUAAAAUUGCAUCAUAAUAGUGGUGGUAGAAGUCAAAUGAGAACAAAGCUCAAUUUAUCCCAUUCCAAAAUUGUAAGGUUGGGAUAAUUAUACUUAAAAACUUGAUAAAAGGGCUCAUUUUAGUUUGAAUUCUACUGUAUGUAAAACAUACCAUCUU
rnacentral:misc_RNA from 1 species